GCAGCGAUGCCGCGUGAGUGAAGAAGGCCCUUGGGUUGUAAAGCUCUUUCGUCGGGGAAGAAAAUGACUGUACCCGAAUAAGAAGGUCCGGCUAACUUCGUGCCAGCAGCCGCGGUAAUACGAAGGGACCUAGCGUAGUUCGGAAUUACUGGGCUUAAAGAGUUCGUAGGUGGUUAAAAAAGUUGGUGGUGAAAUCCCAGAGCUUAACUCUGGAACUGCCAUCAAAACUUUUUAGCUAGAGUAUGAUAGAGGAAAGCAGAAUUUCUAGUGUACAGGUGAAAUUCCUAGAUAUUAGAAAGAAUACCAAUUGCGAAGGCAGCUUUCUGGAUCAUUACUGACACUGAGGAACGAAAGCAUGGGUAGCGAAGAGGAUUAGAUACCCUCGUAGUCCAUGCCGUAAACGAUGUGUGUUAGAUGUUGGAAAUUUAUUU
rnacentral:rRNA from 1 species